rnacentral:lncRNA from 1 species
GAGCACCUGACCAUGGAACAAUAGGAGACCAUAAGUCCAGAACUUGCCAUCAUGGUCUAAGUCUGUCAUCAUAUCCUUAGGUCAGAUUGGCCCAGCAGCAGCCUGACAUAAAAUGAGUGGGAUGAGAUGAACGACACUUGGCCCAGAGGGCACAAGCAAGCUGCAUGAGCAGAUGAUUUAGAUCCUCAUGACUUCCCUUACAGGAGCCUGUAUGACCAGCAGAGGGAGGAAAAGGCCCAAGCUUGGUUUACAAAUGGGUCAGUGUUAUGGGCUGAAUAUUCAUGUUCCCCCAAAAAUCAUAUGUGAUAGAAUUCGGAGGAGGGGCCACUGGCAGGUGAUUCGAUUUAGGAGAGGUCGCGGGGUGGGGGGGAGCCCCAUGAUGGGAUUAGUGCCCUUGAAAGAAGAAGAGGCUAAAACCUCUUCUCUCUGCCAUGUGAGGACAGGGAGAGAAGGCAAAUAUCCACAAGCAAGGAAGGUGUUCACCAGGAACUGAGUCUGCCAGCACCUGGAUCUUGGACUUCCAGCCUCCAAAACAGGGAGAAACAAAUGGCUGUUUUUUAAGCCACCCAGUCUAUGGCAUUGUGUUAUAGGAGCGGAGCAGACUGACAUAGCCAUCUUGGCAUGUGAAUCUAAACUGAGAAUGGAUGGCCAUGGCAGCUGCUCUGGAGCCUCCCUCAGGGGAAGCUUUGAAAGAAAAAAGGUGAAAAAAAUGCUUCCAAGAGUUUUCUCUUUAGCAGCCUAACUCCCCCCUCAGCCCAGCCUUGCUUCCCUUCUGUCUUUCUGUGGUGAGCGACACAGGAGCCUGUUCAAGGAGGAUGGGCUAUAGAGCGUGAGAGGGGCAGUCAGCUUACAGUCUCCAGCUCCUUCCAGGUCUGUUGUAGAAGUCGGAAGUCACUCCCCUCUCAGUGCAGCCUGCAUCCUGUGGCUGAGCAACAAGGUCACAGAGGCCCAGCCAUUUUGACCCCAUUCAAGGCACAUCUGAGGGACAAUACUGUUUCUUUCUGCCCAGUCCCGCCCCUCCCUUUCCUUUCACAGGUGUUGACCCCUAACAAAUAUCAUGUAACCUAAACUCUGUUUUAGCGCCUGCCUCCAGAGAACACAAACUGCAACAAAGAGGGAAAAUAUGUGAAUUGAAGUCACCCCAAAUCACAACCCCCAUUGUAAAUAGUGUGUCUCAGAGACGUGAUAGCUCUGUCAUAAGUAUAUGAAAUCAGCCAAAUAAAUUGUAAACUGUUAAGUCACCCUUCUGUUUAUUCAAUGACAGUGUCAAAAUCUCAACUUUUUCAUCAGCAUAAAAUAUAAAAGCUUGCCAGUUCCAAAUCUAAGUGAUUUGUAGCCCCCAAACAUUUUAAGAAGGCUGCAUUGAUGCCAUUCAGACAUACUGACAUCCAAUAUUAUCUGUAUACCUCCAGGCUUCUUACCCUAGGUAUUAGUUACCUGUUAGUAUCAAAUUACUACAAACGUUGCAGCUUAAAAAAACACCCAUUUAUGAUCCCACAGUUUCUAUGUGUCAAGAUUCUGGACAUGGCAUAGUUGGAUCUUCUUUCUUAGGGUUUCCCACAGGCUGCAAACGAGAUGUUGUCCAGGGCUGGGGUCUCAUCUGAAGGCUCGCCUGAAGAAGCUCACUCAGUGGUUGUCAGUGAGAUUCAGUUCCCCAUGGGCUAUUGGACUGAGAUCUUCUGUUCUCUACUGGCUGUUGGCUGGAGGCCAACCUCAGUUCCUCACCCAAAGGGCCUUUCCAACAUGGUAACUGACUUCAUCAAAAUGAGCAAGCCAAGUAGGCAAUAGAGUCUGACAGCAAGACAAAGCCACAAUCUUUUUUAACCUAAUUAGGGAGUUGAUAUCUUCCUAAUGUUACUACAGUCUAACAGUAAGAAACAGGUUACUCUCUGGAAGAGGAUUACACCAGGCCAUGAAUACUAGGAGGCAGAACUCACAGGGCACCAUCCUGGAGGAUGUCCACCACGUCACACCAAUAUGAACAUGUUUAUAUUUGCAAAAGUGGGAUCAUAUCAUUUUACAAACUUCAACUUACUAAAAUGCAGUGUAACUUCUGUCUACAUAAAUGUCACCUAUUUCUGAUUGUUAAGGACUUCAUAGCAUUCCACCAAACAGCUGUCACGUGAUUUAUUCACAAAACCCUAUUUUCAGACAAUAGGUUGUUUUUGAUUUCUUCAUUUCUAUAAAUGAUGUUGCUAUGACCAUCCUUGUAACUAAACAUUUCCACACUUAUUUAUAUAUUUACCUAAGAAAAAAAUUUCUAGACAUGGGUGGAAUUGUUGGGUUGAAGACAUACUCUGUUUAAAUAUUUUAAUGGAUGUUUUUAACUGAACUCUAUUUACUGGUCUUAGGUUCACAAAAGGCCUUCGUCCUCUCUGUAAAUCAUACUGCUGCUCCCAGGGCCAGCUGUGCAGAAGGAGUAAGACUCCUUCUGGUGGGUCUACACACUUCUAUUCUCACCAACCAUCAAGUUACCAUAUAGAACAGGUGUUCCAUAUAACAGGGCUUCUGUUCUAUCACUAAAUUGCCCUCCAGAGAAGUUUCCCCAAGUUACCCUCCUGUGAACAGAAUGUGAGACUGUCUCCAGGAGUUCGCAUGGUGGCUCAGCAGAAAAGAACAGUAAUCAUGAGGUUGCAGGUUCCAUCCCCAGCCUCGCCAGUGGGUUAAGGAUACAGCAUUGCUGUGAGCUGUGGUGUAGUUCGCAGAUGCGGCUCAGAUCCCGCAUUGCCGUGGUGGCUGUGGUGUAGGCCGGCAGCUGUAGCUCAGAUUCCCAGCUAGCCUACGAACUUCCAUAUGCUUCAGGUGUGGCCCUAAAAAGCAAAAAAAUCAAACCAAACCAAACAAAACAACACCAAAAAAGACUGUCGCCAUUUAUUUAAAAUCUAUUAAAUGAGAAGCUGCUCACCCAUCCUCAAUAAAGAACACUCAUUCUGAGUUCCUUUUCUAACAAUAAUAUGAGUUUCAUGGGGAUCCAGUUCUUUUUUUUUUUUUUUUUUUUAGGGCCGCACCCAAGGCAUAUGGAGGUUCCAGGCUAGGGGUCUAAUCGGAGCUACAGCCGCCAGCCUACACCACAGCCACAGCAAUGCCAGACCCGAGCCACGUCUGCGACCUACACCACAACUCACGGCAGUGCCAGAUCCUCAAUCCACUGAACGAGGCCAGGGAUGGAACCCGCAACCUCAUGGUUCCUAAUCGGUUCGUUUCCACUGCGCCACAAUGGGAACACCAGGAUCCAGUUCUUAGAUGCCCCUGGAGCCAGGCACAGAUCACAACGGAACUGGACUAGAUGUCAAACAACAAGGAGUGGUGGACGCUAUUGAGAGCUGAAAAGCCUUGGGCUCACUGAAGUGUUUAAACAUUUUUAAACACUUUAUCGGCCCAAGAAAAUAUUUCUGUGACUCAGAUUAAACUUGCACUAUGAGUGUAUGUUCCAUGAUUUAUAUCUGAGAGACACUUGUUGAAAAAUAGUUAUUGCCUCUGAACAUGGGGUUGGGGGGGAGAAGCAUUCUCUAAGAAAAGCCAACUGCCUCAUACAGGUGACCCUAAAGUCUUCACUACAAACAAAUCAUAUAAAAUAGAAUAGCAGGAACCCCAAGAUGGACAAAGGGCACAAAAAUUAAUAAGCAUUCUCUCCUUGGGAAGAAAAAUUAGGUGUCAUAAAAAGCAUAAGUGAAUGAACAAAUGAUGACAGUUUCUCCAGGAGCCGUGUUGCCUUCCUCCUUACCUGCUACAGAAGCAGAGUGCUCUCACUUUGAGAACCAGGAGUAAUGGGAGAUGCAUUUAUAAAUACACCCACACUUGCCAUGAAUCUCAGUAGCUUCACUCCACAUCCCUGCAGGACUGACUAUAAGAAUCCAUUAAGUUAAUGAGGGGUUGGGUGCAGCUGUAUCUGUGCAACAUGUGACAAGCCUCGCCCCAUAAUUGAAUCAGGGAUCUUUCAAAAAGACUCUGAGGGAAAAGCUCUGACUUCAGUUUCUCAAAAAUCAGAGCACUGGGCACAGGAUAGACACGUAAGGGGAAGAUGUUUUAUAGAGCCUUGUGGCAGGUGUGUGAGCUGUGAGGACUCAAAUGCUGUAUUAAUAUCACUCUCUUCCUCCUCCUUCAAGGAAGUGGAUUCGUUGUUUUAUAUCCCUUUCUUUGGGAGGGGAAGGGACAUCAAGACAAAGGCUCUGAUUUUUGGUCUAAUUGUAUGUCAGGAUAUCUGGGAAAAGUAGGGACAUUUCAUAUUUUUAACUUUAUGAUGUAAACAGCUAGAAAUGCUCAUCUUACUGUGGUUGUUCCCAAAUAAGGGAUAAUAGAAGGUGUAGAUUUAUUAUUGAUUUUCACUGAUGGUGCAAGGUGUCAAUCUUUUAUAGAUUAUUUGAAGAACUGCUCAAUUGUUAAUUUCUUCACCAAAGUGAGAAGGGCAUUAAGAAAAGGACCCCUCUGCAGCGAUAACUUGGAUUAUCCAACCAGUUUUUGAUGGUCUAUGUCCAUAUCCCUUUGCUCUGUCUGCCUUGGAUACUGCUUUCCAGAGGCAAGACUAUGUCUAUUUUUCAUCUCGAUUCCAGUUACAUUGUGAUUGAAACUGGCUUCUAACACAGAUCAGUAAGCAAAAUGUAAGAUUCUUGUCCUUUUAGGCUAUUAUCAUCUCCCUGCCCUUUUCCUGUUCUCUCAAUUUCCCUUUUGAACCUCCCUGGUCCAGUAUUUACCUGGCACUGGCUCAACCCAGCAAUACCACUUCAUUUUGGGUGUCAUCCCCCGACCAUACACCCAUCUUGCACAGUGCCACCUGGUGGCUCCCCUCCACUAUUACAGCAUGACAACAAAAAGCAGCAGGGAAAAGCGUUAUCUAUCUAAUGAAUGGAAAUGAAAACAUCCAAGACUGACUGCAUAAAAGAAAUCAAAUGACUGAGAGAGAGGGGAAAAUGCCUCUUUUUUAUGGAACGGCCAUAAAUUCACAAGUUGUAUGAAUGCAGAGUAAGGAUUGAUUCUGAAGGGACUAGUUUACAAAUAUCAAAGUAUAUUAACUAUAUUCCCACCAACCUCUUCUUUGAAAAUACCUUUUAUAUUUGCAUUUUGUCAGUGCAUGAGGAUGACUUUUGAGUGGUUAACCACUCCCUAUGGAAGCACUUGCUUUACUGGCUUCUGAAAGCAAAACUGUCAAACAGUUUUCUAUUAUCUAGCAAAUUAUGAUGAAUCAUCAAUAUUAUUGAUACUUAAGAGUUUAUCCUUUCAAAUGGCUGCAGUGACCUUGGAACGAUAAUUCCUGCUUCAUACAAAACAUCUCCUUCUCACAGUGGUUAGCUGUGUACUGUCAUCCCAAUCUGGGCUGGUAUUUUGCCACAGGAAGGAAAAAAGAACAAAGUGGUAGUAAUUUUUUAGCAUUUAUCUUUUUUUCAGCUAUGCUCUGGAAAUAACAGAAAUGUUUAUGGGGUGUGAUUUUUAAAUUUCUCUACUUUUUAAAAUAGGUGCUGCCCCGUGAUGUCUGCUUCAACGUUAUUCGUGGUCAAUUCCACUCUAGAAACAGAGGAAAAGAAGUUCUUUUCCUGCCAGCUUCAUCUUUCCCAUUGAUUUCCUCACCGAACACAUGCCCCUAAUGGAGCUUGAAAUGAAUGCAGCUUUGCUUUUGUUUUCUGGCUUUGUUGGCACACCUCUGCCAGAGGCCAGCUGUGGUCUAAGCCUGAGGCACUCACCUUGCAGAAAGGGCCUCUGCCCCUCCCAGCUGCUGGCACACAGAAGGUGAAGAAGGGGAGGGGAAGAUUCUGUCCCCUUGGCUAGGCCUGGCACAAGAGAAGCGUGCCCUUUGAAAAAAGCUGAACUAUGGGUGGGGAGGUUUGUAAAACACCUAAGAGCCAGGAAGUUAGCAAUUCCAGGAGAUAGAAAAGGAGGAUCACAGGGCUGGGAAUGUUGGGGAGUCCUUACAAAAAGCCAGAGAAACUCACUUACACCUUAAAAACUACAAAAUAAGAAUAACAAAACGCAUCCCAAAUUACAAAACUCAGACCAAAUGGGGAUUACUCGCAGCAAGGAAAAGGGAUAAGGAAGGACAUUGUAAAGAAAGUCUUCUGGGAGUUCCUGUCGCGUGGCUCAGCAGUAACAAAUCCAACAAGUAUCCAUGAGGAUACAAUUUGGAUACCUGGCCUCACUCAGUGGGUUAAGGAUCCCAUGUUGGCCGGGAGCUGUGGUAUAGGUUGCAGAUGUGGCUCGGAUCCUGCACUGCUGCGGCUGUGGUGUAGGCUGGCGGCUGCAGCUCCAAUUGGACCCGCAGCCUGGAAACUGCCAUAUGCAGGAGUGGCCCU